CCUACGGGAGGCUGCAGUGAGGAAUAUUGGUCAAUGGUCGGGAGACUGAACCAGCCAAGCCGCGUGAGGGAGGACUGUACAGAGGAUCGUAAACCUCUUUUGUCAGGGAACAAAGACUGGGACGCGUCCCCGGAUGAGUGUACCUGAAGAAUAAGCAUCGGCUAACUCCGUGCCAGCAGCCGCGGUAAUACGGAGGAUGCGAGCGUUAUCCGGAUUUAUUGGGUUUAAAGGGUGCGCAGAUGGGUUGUUAAGUCAGCGGUGAAAGUCCGGGGCUCAACCCCCGGAUGCCCGUUGAAACUGGCAGUCUCGAGUUGGAGAGAAGUAGGCGGAAUGCGCGGUGUAGCGGUGAAAUGCAUAGAUAGCGCGCAGAACUCCGAUUGCGAAGGCAGCAUGCCGGCUCCACACUGACGCUGAGGCACGAAAGUGUGGGUAUCGAACAGGAUUAGAUACCCCUGUAGUC
rnacentral:rRNA from 1 species